UUUCCGUAGGUGAACUGCGGAAGAUCAUUAAAAAUAUCGCUCGAUUGAGAGUGAUUUAAUAAUCAUCCUACCCUUUGUGAAUUUGUUUCGUAAUAAUUUUUUUUGACGUGGAAUAAAAAAAAAUUAUUUAUGGUUUUGUCUAUCCUAAAUUGGUCUGUUUGUUGUAAAAGACAAGUGAAUCAUUUAGGGAAUAGGCUUCCUAAAUAAUUGAUUUUUUUCCAAUGUCUUAAAGACUUUUUUUAAAUUAAACUUUGUAUUCAUUUGUCUAAAAUAAUUUUUAAAAUAAUUUAAAACAACUUUUGACAAUGGAUCUCUGGUUCUCGCAACGAUGAGAACGCAGCAAAUGCGAUAAGUAAUGUGAAUUGCAGAAUACGUGAAUCAUCAAUCUUCGAACGCAUAUUGCACUUUUUAGUCUACUAAAAAAGUAUGUCUGUUUGAGUAUCAGUAAAAUAUUCUCAUAAAAACAUUUUUGUUUUUAUGUUAUGAGUGUUUUACAACGAUAACAAGUUGUUCACUUUAAAUUCAUUUUAAUUUAAGACCUAUGGUUUUAAUAAUUAAAAUUGGAUAAAAUUUCCGUAAAAAGGAAUAACUUUUCAGUUUUAGUUAGAGAAAUCUCGGUCCGAUUUUAAAGGAAAUUAUUUUAAAUACUUGAUCUCAAAUAGAUAAGAGUACCGCUGAACUAGCAUUCAAUAAGCGGAGGAAAGAACUAAAAGGAUUCCUUAGUAACGGCGAGUGAAGCGGGAAGAGCUCAAAUUUGAAAUCUUCAAGGUCUACCUUGACGAAUUGUAGUUUAAGAAGUGUUUUCUGUUAGAUGAGUGCAAAGUUCCUUGGAAUGGACAUCAUAGAGGGUGAGAAUCCGUAUUUGGUUAUUCAUUCUAGCUUGUGAUACACUUUCAAGAGUCGGAUGUUUGGAAUGCAGUCCAAAAUGGUGUAAAUUUCAUCUAAAGCUAAAUAUUGGCGAGAGACGAUAGCGAACAAGUACGUGAGGGAAAGAUGAAAAGAACUUUGAAAAGAGAGUUAAACAGUACGUGAAAUUGUCAAAAGGGAAGCGUUUGACACCAGUGUUGUUGUGGAGAAAUCAAUUGUGGACGGUUUUGUGGGUUGAACCUUAUCAGCUCUCCUUACUCUUUACUUUUCACGCAUGCACUUUCUCUUAACAAGUCAACAUCAUUCUUUGUUGUAAAGGGUCACGAAGGUGGCUUUCUUUUCGGAGAAAGUGUUUAUAGCCGUUGAUCUCUACAAUCGGAGAGAUUGAGGUCUGCAGCGUAGAUCCUUCGGGUUAGAUACGUCGGUGCUAAGUUAUAAUCCUAUAUAGACAACUUGUUGACUAUAUUCGAUCAUGUAGCUUACUCGCUGGCGCUAUUUACUACGCUAGAUGU
rnacentral:misc_RNA from 1 species